rnacentral:rRNA from 1 species
AGAGUUUGAUCCUGGCUCAGAACGAACGCUGGCGGCGUGCCUAACACAUGCAAGUCGAACGGGAUUAAGGGGCUUGCUCCUUAAUCUAGUGGCGCACGGGUGAGUAACGCGUGGAUAAUCUGCCUGAUGCUCUGGGAUAACAUUUCGAAAGGGGUGCUAAUACCGGAUAAGCCCACGGGGUCUUAGGAUCUUGCGGGAAAAGGAGGGGACCUUCGGGCCUUCCGACAUCAGAUGAGUCCGCGUCCCAUUAGCUAGUUGGUGGGGUAAAAGCCUACCAAGGCGACGAUGGGUAGCUGGUCUGAGAGGAUGAUCAGCCACACUGGAACUGAGACACGGUCCAGACUCCUACGGGAGGCAGCAGUGGGGAAUUUUGCGCAAUGGGGGAAACCCUGACGCAGCAACGCCGCGUGAGUGAUGAAGGCCUUUGGGUCGUAAAGCUCUGUCAGAGGGAAAGAAAUGUGGGUGGCUAAUAUCCAUUCCACUUGACGGUACCCUCAAAGGAAGCACCGGCUAACUCCGUGC